CCUACGGGCGGCAGCAGUGGGGAAUAUUGGACAAUGGGCGAAAGCCUGAUCCAGCCAUGCCGCGUGUGUGAAGAAGGCCUUCGGGUUGUAAAGCACUUUCAGUGGGGAAGAAAGCCUUGGGGCUAAUACCCUCGAGGAAGGACAUCACCCACAGAAGAAGCACCGGCUAACUCCGUGCCAGCAGCCGCGGUAAUACGGAGGGUGCGAGCGUUAAUCGGAAUUACUGGGCGUAAAGCGCGCGUAGGCGGUCUGAUAAGCCGGUUGUGAGAGCCCCGGGCUCAACCUGGGAACGGCAUCCGGAACUGUCAGGCUAGAGUGCAGGAGAGGAAGGUAGAAUUCCCGGUGUAGCGGUGAAAUGCGUAGAGAUCGGGAGGAAUACCAGUGGCGAAGGCGGCCUUCUGGACUGACACUGACGCUGAGGUGCGAAAGCGUGGGUAGCAAACAGGAUUAGAUACCCCGGUAGUC
rnacentral:rRNA from 1 species